rnacentral:tRNA from 2 species
UUCCGACGUAGCUCAAUGGUGGAGCAAUCGGCUGUUAACCGAUCGGCUGCUGGUUCGAGUCCAGCCGUCGGAGU